rnacentral:rRNA from 1 species
UACAGAGGGUGCAAGCGUUAAUCGGAAUUACUGGGCGUAAAGCGUGCGUAGACGGUUAUGUAAGUCGGGUGUGAAAUUUCGGAGCUUAACUCCGAAACUGCAUUCGAUACUGCGGUGCUUGAGGACUGGAGAGGAGACUGGAAUUCAUGGUGUAGCAGUGAAAUGCGUAGAGAUCAUGAGGAAGACCAGUGGCGAAGGCGGGUCUCUGGACAGUUCCUGACACUGAGACACGAAGGCCAGGGGAGCAAACGGGG